GCAUAUCAAUAAGCGGAGGAAAAGAAACCCAACAGGUAUUGCCCCCAGUAACGGCGAGUGAAGCGGCAACAGCUCAAAUUUGAAAUCUGGCCCCCCCGGCCCGAGUUGUAAUUUGCAGAGGAUGCUUUUGGUGAGGCACCUACCGAGUCCCCUGGAAUGGGGCGCCAUAGAGGGUGAGAGCCCCGUAUGGUAGGACGCCGAACCUCUGUAAAGCUCCUUCGACGAGUCGAGUAGUUUGGGAAUGCUGCUCUAAAUGGGAGGUAAAUUUCUUCUAAAGCUAAAUACCGGCCAGAGACCGAUAGCGCACAAGUAGAGUGAUCGAAAGAUGAAAAGCACUUUGAAAAGAGGGUUAAAAAGUACGUGAAAUUGUUGAAAGGGAAGCGCUUGUGACCAGACUUGCGCCGGGCGGAUCAUCCAGCGUUCUCGCUGGUGCACUCCGCCCGGUUCAGGCCAGCAUCGGUUUUCGCCGGGGGACAAAGGCUUCGGGAACGUGGCUCCUUUCGGGGAGUGUUAUAGCCCGUUGCGUAAUACCCCGGCGGGGACCGACGACCGCGCUUCGGCAAGGAUGCUGGCGUAAUGGUCAUCAGCGACCCGUCUUGAAACACGGACCGAGGAGUCAAGCAUUAGUGCGAGUGUUUGGGUGUAAAACCCGCACGCGUAAUGAAAGUGAACGUAGGUGAGAGCUUCGGCGCAUCAUCGACCGAUCCUGAUGUUUUCGGAAGGAUUUGAGUAGGAGCAUUAACGCUUGGACCCGAAAGAUGGUGAACUAUACUUGAAUAGGGUGAAGCCAGAGGAAACUCUGGUGGAGGCUCGCAGCGGUUCUGACGUGCAAAUCGAUCGUCAAAUUUGAGUAUAGGGGCGAAAGACUAAUCGAACCAUCUAGUAGCUGGUUUCAGCCGAA
rnacentral:rRNA from 1 species